AACGAACGCUGGCGGCAGGCUUAACACAUGCAAGUCGAACGCCCCGCAAGGGGAGUGGCAGACGGGUGAGUAACGCGUGGGAACAUACCCUUUCCUGCGGAAUAGCUCUGGGAAACUGGAAUUAAUACCGCAUACGCCCUACGGGGGAAAGAUUUAUCGGGGAAGGAUUGGCCCGCGUUGGAUUAGCUAGUUGGUGGGGUAAAGGCCUACCAAGGCGACGAUCCAUAGCUGGUCUGAGAGGAUGAUCAGCCACAUUGGGACUGAGACACGGCCCAAACUCCUACGGGAGGCAGCAGUGGGGAAUAUUGGACAAUGGGCGCAAGCCGGAUCCAGCCAUGCCGCGUGAGUGAUGAAGGCCUUAGGGUUGUAAAGCUCUUUCACCGAUGAAGAUAAUGACGGUAGUCGGAGAAGAAGCCCCGGCUAACUUCGUGCCAGCAGCCGCGGUAAAGA
rnacentral:rRNA from 1 species